UACGUAGGGUGCAAGCGUUAAUCGGAAUUACUGGGCGUAAAGCGUGCGUAGGUGGUGAGUUAAGUCUGAUGUGAAAUCCCCGGGCUCAACCUGGGAAUGGCAUUGGAUACUGGCUCGCUAGAGUGCGGUAGAGGGUGGUGGAAUUCCCGGUGUAGCAGUGAAAUGCGUAGAGAUCGGGAGGAACAUCUGUGGCGAAGGCGGCCACCUGGGCCAACACUGACACUGAGGCACGAAAGCGUGGGGAGCAAACAGG
rnacentral:rRNA from 1 species